rnacentral:rRNA from 1 species
UCGAGGAUCUUCGGCAAUGGGCGCAAGCCUGACCGAGCGACGCCGCGUGCGGGAUGAAGGCCUUCGGGUUGUAAACCGCUUUGGUCGGGGAGAAAGGCUUCCGGGGUUCACCCCGGGAGUCUGAUCUAUCCGAGAAACAAGCACGGGCUAAGUUCGUGCCAGCAGCCGCGGUAAGACGAACCGUGCGAACGUUGUUCGGAAUCACUGGGCUUAAAGGGCGCGUAGGCGGCAUGACAAGUCUGGGGUGAAAUCCUCCGGCUUAACCGGAGAAUUGCCUGGGAAACUAGCAUGCUCGAGGGAGGUAGAGGUGGCCGGAACUUCCAGUGGAGCGGUGAAAUGCGUUGAUAUUGGAAGGAACGCCGGAGCCGAAAGGGGGCCACUGGACCUCUUCUGACGCUGAGGCGCGAAAGCUAGGGUAGCGAACGG